GUGUUUACAUAUUUUGACAGGUCGAGUUGUUCUGGGACUAGGAACAAUGAUGAAGGAAUACCUGCACCAUGGAAACAAUGUCAUUUGCAAACUUUUUGAACCUGUGCUGGGCAUUCACAUUGACAUUUCUUGUUCAACAGGAAUACAUGAUGUCGACUAACAGUACAACUAGAUGAUCAUCUGAAGGGCCACAAUUGUUUAAAGCACUGGUCAACAAAAACU
rnacentral:lncRNA from 1 species